rnacentral:rRNA from 1 species
UACGGAGGGUGCAAGCGUUAAUCGGAAUUACUGGGCGUAAAGCGUGCGCAGGCGGUUUGGAAAGAAAGGUGUGAAAUCCCAGAGCUUAACUUUGGAACUGCACUUUUAACUGCCAAGCUAGAGUAUGUCAGAGGGGGGUAGAAUUCCACGUGUAGCAGUGAAAUGCGUAGAGAUGUGGAGGAAUACCGAUGGCGAAGGCAGCCCCCUGGGAUAAUACUGACGCUCAUGCACGAAAGCGUGGGGAGCAAACAGG